GACGAACGCUGGCGGCGUGCUUAACACAUGCAAGUCGAACGGAAAGGCCCCUUCGGGGGUACUCGAGUGGCGCACGGGUGAGUAACACGUGAGUAACCUGCCCUUGACUUCGGGAUAACUUCAGGAAACUGGGGCUAAUACCGGAUAGGAAUCCUUGCUGCAUGGGGGGGGUUGGAAAGCUUCGGCGGUUUUGGAUGGACUCGCGGCUUAUCAGCUUGUUGGUGGGGUAGUGGCUUACCAAGGCUUUGACGGGUAGCCGGCCUGAGAGGGCGACCGGCCACAUUGGGACUGAGAUACGGCCCAGACUCCUACGGGAGGCAGCAGUGGGGAAUAUUGCACAAUGGGCGGAAGCCUGAUGCAGCAACGCCGCGUGCGGGAUGACGGCCUUCGGGUUGUAAACCGCUUUCAGCAGGGGCGAAGCUUGUGGUGACGGUACCUGCAGAAGAAGCACCGGCUAACUACGUG
rnacentral:rRNA from 1 species